UAUUUUGCUAUCUUAUUGGGGUAACAUAGAGCCAAAUGGGGCAAGGUUGGCGUAUCAUCAUCUGAUGAAAGUACAGCACUGCCGCUGUUUCCACACUAAGAAUACUCAUAACCUAUCCCAACCUGAGUGGACAUAUAAAUUCAGAGGGAAAAAUCACAAACUAUACUAUACCGAUACAGCUAGAUAUCAAGAUUCUAAGGACACAAUGUCUAAACUAAAUUACCCAACAAACAGUUUGAAUCAUGAAUAGAAUAUAGUUAACAUAACCCCCCAUGCAAACGGUCAUCACGUAUCAGCUAGUAAGAAAGGAGGGAACAAAUCUUGAUUAACAGAACAAUGGAGCACCAUCUUUAGAGAUUGUACAAACUGUAAAACAAAACAAAAAACGGUCAGAGUAAAAAAACAUGACUGGAUAUAUAUACAGCUGGAUAUCAAGAUUCUCUGGAGAAAUGCUUAAACUAAAAUACUAAUAAAAAAUGAAUCAUGGGCCAUUCAAAAACAACUUCAUAUAGAUAUAUACCCAACAAAGAGUUUGAAUCAUGAAUAUGCAAUGCACAUCGCUGACAUGACCCACCAUGCAAACGAUCAUCAUAAAUACCUUUGGAACCCACAACUCAACAUAAACAUGACAAAGACAAACAUGUAUACCAAAUAGCAUCUGAAAACAUAUCAGGGAAGAUAAUUUUCUGGCAGAACCAAGCAUGCGUAUGCAACUAUCUAAAUAUAUGUGCUAAACAGCCACUGGAAACAUUGCUAUAGAACAGACCGGAUAAAGCAAUUUCCACACAGAACAAUGCAUGCAUGUUUGCACAACCAAUCAAACACAUGUAUAGAAUAUAUACUGACAAACAAUUAGUCUAGAAAGACUAACUAUGCCGGAGCAAGUUGAUCAUGAAACUCCAUACCAAGACAUCUCCAGAUUUUUCCGGAAAUGAGAGUUCAGUAAGCUACUACCUUCAGCCUCCUAACUGAUUUGAGAGCAACAUUUAUUAGUUUUUAGAAACAUGAAAAAAACAUUAGGCACAUUUGAAUAAACAUUUAAGAGAAGGGAACUGCAAAACGAAAUUCAGUAAACAGAAACGCCACUAUAGCUCAUGACUAAAUUGACUCUCUUUCAGUAAAAAGUAGGAAAGUGUAACCACCUUAGUAAAAAUAGAAUGAGCAUGCUACCAUGCCCUUGCGCAGGUUCAAGCUACAUUCGAAGAAGGGACGUCUAUUGAACAAAAACUGGGUCGAUAGUAUUUUGCAAUAGCUAACUAUGCAACUUUUCUCCACGAACAUGAGAUAAUUUAAAUGGCAGGAUCAUGUUUGUUUUCCCCUUAUUUUCAGUUGGAUUGUAAUAACUCAGCAGCAAAGAGUACACCACAGUGGUUUAGUCUACUAAUCUGAUUCAAUUCAAGAAUGGGUAGCCUAUUCUCUUGUAUAUGUCAGCAAGCUCUUUUUUGUACUCAAGUCAAAACUAAGCAUAAAUACCUACUCACCUACAUAAGUUGUUGUUGCACAUGCCCAUGUAUUUGGUGCAAGUUGAGGCCUCCUUUAAGUAACAUUAUGACCACUCUUCAAGU
rnacentral:lncRNA from 1 species